rnacentral:rRNA from 1 species
CCCGCCGGCGACCGGCGCACGGGUGAGUAACACGUAUGCAACCUGGCCGCCACAGGGGGAUAACCCGCGGAAACGCGGCCUAAUACCCCGUGACGCCACCGGAGGGCAUCCUCCGGUGGCCAAAGGAGCGAUCCGGUGGCGGAUGGGCAUGCGGCGCAUUAGCUAGACGGCGGGGUGACGGCCCACCGUGGCGACGAUGCGUAGGGGUUCUGAGAGGAAGGCCCCCCACACUGGGACUGAGACACGGCCCAGACUCCUACGGAAGGCAGCA